rfam:Oryza barthii chromosome 3, whole genome shotgun sequence.
GUUAAGAUCCAAAGUAUGAAUUUCCAUGCCUAACAAGUUAGUCGUCCGUCGUAUUUAAAUUUUUUUGAUAAUUAGUAUUUUUUUCUAUGAGAUGAUAAAAUAUGAAUAAUAUUUUAUUGUGACUUAUGUUUUUAAUUUUUUUUAAAAUUUUUUUUAAAUAAGACGGACGAUCAAAGUUGGACACGGAAAUUCAUGGUUACACUUGAA